rnacentral:rRNA from 1 species
GGGGGGGGGGGGGGGGGGGGGGGGGGGGGGGAGGGCGGGGGGGGGGGGGGGGGGGGGGCGCGGGGUGGGUGAGUGGCGAACGGGUGAGUAAUACGUGGGUAACCUGCCCUUGACUCUGGGAUAAGCCUGGGAAACUGGGUCUAAUACUGGAUAUGACAUGCCACUGCAUGGUGGUGUGUGGAAAGGGUUUUACUGGUUUUGGAUGGGCUCACGGCCUAUCAGCUUGUUGGUGGGGUAAUGGCCUACCAAGGCGACGACGGGUAGCCGGCCUGAGAGGGUGACCGGCCACACUGGGACUGAGACACGGCCCAGACUCCUACGGGAGGCAGCAGUGGGGAAUAUUGCACAAUGGGCGGAAGCCUGAUGCAGCGACGCCGCGUGAGGGAUGACGGCCUUCGGGUUGUAAACCUCUUUCAGCACGGAAGAAGCGAGAGUGACGGUACGUGCAGAAGAAGCGCCGGCUAACUACGUG